rnacentral:rRNA from 1 species
UACGUAGGUGGCGAGCGUUAUCCGGAAUUAUUGGGCGUAAAGGGAGCGCAGGCGGCUUAUUAAGUCUAUGGUUAAAGUUCGGGGCUCAACCCCGUGAUGCCAUAGAAACUGGUAGGCUAGAGUGCAGGAAAGGUGAGUGGAAUUCCAUGUGUGGCGGUAAAAUGCGUAGAUAUAUGGAGGAACACCAGUGGCGAAGGCGGCUCACUGGCCUGUAACUGACGCUGAGGCUCGAAAGCGUGGGGAGCAAAUAGG